GUGACGUCACAGAGGGAGAAGUGCACUUGUGUACAGAAACAUGGCUUAGAAGAUUGGCUUUGGAGGUGGCUGCAAUGGAGUAUAUGUUUUGAAGAAGUCCCCUAUGAAAUGUCUUAUAAAUUGUUUCUUAUCUCCAGGUGAUUGGGCUCACACCUGUAAUUUCAGCACUUUGAGAAACUGAGAAGGAAGGAUCAGGAAUCGUCAUAUGGCUUCCCACAGCAGGUGGGCCAUUUACAUCACCACGACAAUAUCCACAGGAGUUCCAGUUCCCUAAAUUCUCACCAAGACUGGUCAUUCUCUGUUGGAAAAAAACAUCGUAAUAGGUGUGAGGGAAAGCUGCACCUGUGCACAUGACAAGACCAUGAGCUACACUUUGCUUCACUUUUCUUGAAGUCAAUAAGUUUCUUGAUCCAGAGCCAUAUUAUGGAAGAAUUCCUGACUCUAAUAAAAGCACUUGGAAAAUCUUUAAAUAAUAUUUUAUGCAGAAACAUAACCAAAAAGAAAGGAAAAUUCAUAUAUAGGAAAAUAAUCACCACCCUCCUCAUGUUACAUGAGGUCCACUAGAAUCACCUGACACCACAUGUUAGUCUGAGCCCUGAUGUGUGGUAUAAUGUUAGGGGUUUAGGAGAGGACAUUCUUCUUGGCAAAUUAGGUGUUCAGAAGAGCCAGCAGCCCUGUACAUCUCAGUUAGUUGAAACUCAUAUUAUUGAGUCUUCACGGGGACCUCCAUAACAUUGGUUCAUGAGUCCACCUGGGAAAGCUGGGAAAGGUGACUGACUAAAGUCCAUGUGUUGAAUCUUCCUCAUUAUGAAAAGCCCCAUGCUUUAUAAUGAUAGUUUGAUUAAUAUUCACUUGGAAAGCUUUUUUUAUUUUUUCUAUUAUGGCUCAUUUUUGAAAUGUGUAGUCAUAGCUCUUCCAGAAUGACUUUGUCUGCAAUCAUCCUGUUGCAUUUCUUUUAAGGCCUGAUGAUCUGUCAAAACCAACAACCAAUAUUAUUAAAUGGCUGUUCUCUUGGCAAUGUGAUCAUCAGAUGUAGGCCUUGCAGUUUACACAUGAUUAGGAUUUUUACAUUUCCAGGGCUUCCUUGACAAUGGCACUGAUGUGACUCCAUCCAGCAUCUAUUGUUAUGAGAACUCUAUUUGGCAUAUUAUCACUGUGGGCAUGAACAUAAUGGAGACUUUCAUAGGAUGCUAUGGUUAAUAUCCAACAUUAGUCAAAAUUUACCCUAGUCCUACCCUUGGAACUCUACUGGGUUGGAAAAUUAUUUUAGGUAAGGACAACCAUUUGGUAACAUUUU